rnacentral:rRNA from 1 species
UUUAGCAAGAAAACUACAAGCAAAGAGCCCUUUAGUUUGUAACCCCGAAACUGAGCGAGCUACUCCAAGACAGCCUAUAUAGGGCAAACCCGUCUCUGUGGCAAAAGAGUGGGAAGAGCUUUGAGUAGAGGUGACAAACCUACCGAGCUCAGUUAUAGCUGGUUGCCUGAGAAAUGAAUAGGAGUUCAGCCCUUUAAAUCUUCCCCCAUCACCUAUGCUUAUGCUAAAAUUGAUUAAGGAAAUUAAAGGUGUUAAUUAAAAGGGGUACAGCCCUUUUAAUAAAAGAAACAACUUUAACAGGUGACCCCAGAUCAUACUACCUAAGGGUUUCAAAUUUAGUGGGCCUAAAAGCAGCCAUCUUAACAGAAAGCGUUAAAGCUCAAAUUAGCUAAUACCCUCAUAUACUGAUAUUUCAUCUCCCUCCCUGCCCCUUACCAGGCUAUUUUAUGCCCUCAUAAGAAUAAUUAUGCUAAA